GAGUUUGAUCCUGGCUCAGGAUUAACGCUGGCGGCAUGCCUAAUACAUGCAAGUCGAACGGAGUAGCAAUACUUAGUGGCGAACGGGUGAGUAACACGUAUCUAAUCUACCAUUUAGUGGGGAAUAACUGUUGGAAACGACAGCUAAUACCGCAUAAUAUUGCUGGAUAAUUUCCAGUAAUGAAAGGAGCUUUCAAGCUCCGCUGAUUGAUGAGGAUGCGGCGCAUUAGCUAGUUGGUAGGGUAAUGGCCUACCAAGGCAAUGAUGCGUAGCCGAUCUGAGAGGAUGAACGGCCACAUUGGGACUGAGACACGGCCCAAACUUCUACGGAAGGCAGCAGUAGGGAAUUUUUCACAAUGGGCGAAAGCCUGAUGGAGCAAUGCCG
rnacentral:rRNA from 1 species